GACGAACGCUGGCGGCGUGCUUAACACAUGCAAGUCGAACGGAAAGGCCUGCUUUCCCUUGUGGAUUGCGGGUACUCGAGUGGCGAACGGGUGAGUAACACGUGAGUGAUCUUCCCCCAACUUGGGUAUAAGCCUGGGAAACUGGGUCUAAUUCCCGAUAGGACGGCAGGGUGGUGCCCGUGGUGGAAAACGAUUUUCUAGUGGUUGGGGAUGAGCUCGCGGCCUAUCAGCUUGUUGGUGGGGUAAUGGCCUACCAAGGCGGCGACGGGUAGCCGGCCUGGGAGGGUGGACGGCCACGUUGGGACUGCGAUACGGCCCAGACUCCUACGGGAGGCAGCAGUGGGGAAUAAUGCACAAUGGACGGAAGCCUGAUGCCGCGACGCCGAGUGGGGGAUGACGGCCUUCGGGUUGUAAACUCCUUUCGACAGCGAGGAAGCCACCUGGUUGGAAGGGUGGUGACGGUAGUGGUAGAAGAAGCACCGGCUAACUACGUG
rnacentral:rRNA from 1 species